CGAUUCCUACGGGAGGCAGCAGUGGGGAAUAUUGCACAAUGGGGGAAACCCUGAUGCAGCAACGCCGCGUGGAGGAUGACGCAUUUCGGUGUGUAAACUCCUUUUAUAUGUCAAGAAAAUGACGGUAGCAUAUGAAUAAGCACNNANNAACUCCGUGCCAGCAGCCGCGGUAAUACGGAGGGUGCAAGCGUUAUUCGGAAUCACUGGGCGUAAAGGACGCGUAGGCGGGUUUGUAAGUCAGGUGUGAAAUCCUACAGCUUAACUGUAGAACUGCACUUGAAACUACUAACCUAGAGUAUGGGAGGGGGAGAUGGAAUUAGUGGUGUAGGGGUAAAAUCCGUAGAUAUCACUAGGAAUACCUAAAGCGAAGGCGAUCUCCUGGAACAUUACUGACGCUAAGGCGUGAAAGCGUGGGGAGCAAACAGGAAAAU
rnacentral:rRNA from 1 species